CUCGAUGAGGUCCUGCCAUGAGCGCCGCUGGCUCGCUGUCUUGCGCACUGGUGAGUCGGUGACACUCCCUGCCGCCUCUGGGCGGAACUCCUCAUGUGAUGACUGUGACUGGGAGGUCUCUGUGGAGGAGAGGCGGCUGUGCUUUGGCUCCACGUAGGGACUGGUGCAACUCAUCGAAGGAGGCCGUGGGUACGUAUCAUAUGGGGGUGGUGGGCUGUCUUGUUUGGGUGUCGAUGGAGUGUCAGCCUCCUCCUUAUCACUCUCACUCCAGUAAUCUUGCUCUUGUUUGAUCCUCUCCCUUUCUGCAUAGCCAGCA
rnacentral:lncRNA from 1 species